UGGCACUUUGUGCUACAUCUUUAAAUUUAUCUUCAUGUUCCCAGAAAUUUUUGACUUUUUUUUCUUUCUUUUUCAUCCCUUUUCUGUCGGACAAAUCGUAAUAAUGAAAGACGAUGUUUUGCUCCGGUGCAUAAAAAUCAUAACCGUACGUAAAUGCACGUAUUCCAAUGUUUGGCUCUUCC
rnacentral:ribozyme from 11 species